rnacentral:rRNA from 1 species
CCUACGGGAGGCAGCAGUGGGGAAUAUUGCACAAUGGGCGGAAGCCUGAUGCAGCGACGCCGCGUGAGGGAUGAAGGCCUUCGGGUUGUAAACCUCUUUCAGCAGGGACGAAGCGUGAGUGACGGUACCUGCAGAAGAAGCACCGGCUAACUACGUGCCAGCAGCCGCGGUAAUACGUAGGGUGCGAGCGUUGUCCGGAAUUACUGGGCGUAAAGAGUUCGUAGGCGGUUUGUCGCGUCGUUUGUGAAAACCCGGGGCUCAACUUCGGGCUUGCAGGCGAUACGGGCAGACUUGAGUGUUUCAGGGGAGACUGGAAUUCCUGGUGUAGCGGUGAAAUGCGCAGAUAUCAGGAGGAACACCGGUGGCGAAGGCGGGUCUCUGGGAAACAACUGACGCUGAGGAACGAAAGCGUGGGUAGCAAACAGGAUUAGAUACCCUGGUAGUCCACGCCGUAAACGGUGGGCGCUAGGUGUGGGUUCCUUCCACGGGAUCUGUGCCGUAGCUAACGCAUUAAGCGCCCGCCUGGGGAUACGGCCGCAAGGCAAAACUCAAAGGAAUUGACG